rnacentral:rRNA from 1 species
AACGCGAAGAACCUUACCUGGCCUUGACAUCCUAGGAAUCCCGAAGAGAUUUGGGAGUGCCGCAAGGAGCCUAGAGACAGGUGCUGCAUGGCUGUCGUCAGCUCGUGUCGUGAGAUGUUGGGUUAAGUCCCGCAACGAGCGCAACCCUCGUCCUAUGUUGCCAGCGGGUCAUGCCGGGGACUCAUGGGAGACUGCCGGGGUCAACUCGGAGGAAGGUGGGGAUGACGUCAAGUCAUCAUGCCCCUUAUGUCUUGGGCUGCAAACAUGCUACAAUGGCCGGUACAGAGGGCUGCGAACUCGCGAGAGUAAGCGAAUCCCGGAAAGCCGGUCUCAGUUCGGAUCGGGGUCUGCAACUCGGCCCCGUGAAGCUGGAGUCGCUAGUAAUCGCGGAUCAGCAACGCCGCGGUGAAUACGUUCCCGGGCCUGUACACACCGCGCAUA